UCCACCACCUCCAUGGCGCCGCUCCCGGGCCGCCGAGCAGCUCGAGGUCCUGCUCCGAAGACGCGCUUCGCCUCCGCAGCCGCGGCCGCACCGAAACUCCCGCGUCUCUCAGAUUACAGAUGCCAGAGUUCCUUCUUUGUACUUCUUUACCUACACUCACUCUUUUGAAGAUCUCAGAUGCUGCCUGAGUUCUAUAAUCACACUUCAAGCUCCAGCUGUGGAUCCAGGAAAACUGAGACUGUGUCUCACUGCGGCUAAUUGCCCUGAUUACAUGGUUAUUGUUAGCCUGUAAUGUUUCGUAUGAAUUACAAAAGAGUCUGUAGACUCACAGAACUAGAAUUUCACACUUACUUCCUAGCUGAGUACUUUAUUUUCUUAGCCAACUGUAUAACUUAGAUACUUGCCACAUCAUUGGAUCUCAGCUUCAUGGCCUUUAUCUUGCUACCCACUGAAUCUUCUGGCUGCAGGACAGUUUAGGAUUUUAAGAGAAAAUAGUUUUAGUUCAAGUUUCAUUUUCGAGUAUCUAUGUAAAAACAUAGGUCUCACCCGAAAGAGAGUAAGAGACAAUUUUUUCUAAAGCCCAAUAUAAGUGACCAUGCCCAGGGAACACAGAUUCAAGUAGUUCCAUGUACCAUGUUCCAUUGGGAAUGUGGUUACAUGAGAUUUGGGGCUUGCAUUAGAGAAGACAUCAGGUAGGUGGGUUUUAGCAAAAUGGGAAAACAGUUCCCGAUCUCUGAUGUUAUCUGGUGACAUGCUCAAGCGUUUGGAUCCUUGAUACAGAGCAGUUUACUAAGAAUACAUUUUAAAGUUUUGAUAGUUGAAGAAUGUUGAGCCAGACAUAGGUGUAGGCUUUGGAAGGGGCUAAAAAGAUCGCAAGAUAAUUUGUCUCUAAUCUGCAACUGCAGUGAUGUAAACUGCAAUAAUAUCAGUUCUCCAUAAUCAGCUUGUUCAGUCUUUAUAUUUGACCUUGUAGAGUCUUUAAUGCAAGUGUGACAUUGUUUUCCCCUUCUGGAAAUGUUCAUUCACAAGACCAGCACUUAAAAUUUUCAGUUAAGAUUUAGGAAUCAUAUGUCAAGAGUUUAAUUGCUUUUCUUGUGUAAGUUUCUUACACAUAGUGUUAUUAGCAUUUGGCAUUAGCUAGGCGUGGUAGCAUGGAGGCUGAGGCAAGAAGAUCAUGAUCAUGACCAUGACUGCCUACGCUAAAUCAGAUUCAGUCUAGCCUGGCAUACACAAAAUAUUUGGUCUUAAAAAAUAAAUGUUACCAACAGAAAAAAAAAAACAGAUAUUACUGGGAAUAUCACUCAAUUGAUAGAGUGCUUUCCUAUCAUGCCAAAGUCCUGGGUUUGAAGUCUUGGGUCGGAUCUCCAGCACCACAUAAUGGUUCACAACUAAAAUCCUAGCACUUUGGAGUUGGAGGCAGCAGGAGAAACAGGAGCUUAAGAUCAUCUUGUUGUCUUUUACUAUAUAGUGAGGUCUGGGCCAUACUGGUCUACAUAACAACAUGAUUAAAAAUAUUUUUUUUAAUUUUACGAAAAAAAUGAAAGAAAAGACUGGUAGUUUUGUCAUAUAAUUAAGCUGCUUUUCUGUAAUUAAUUUAAAUCUGUUUGAUUUUCUUCCUCAAAGUUGCCAUCUAAAUCAUAAAUCUGAUAUUCAUGUGUGAGGAGGAUCUUCUCUAAUAUUUAUUUUACCCUAUUGUAUAAAAUGCAUUUUUUUAAAACCAGGACUGUAUACAUUAGUUUCUUAGCUUUGCAAUAAUGGUAUUAUGUGUGAGACAGUCUAGCGUAGGAAUUGCUUAGCAAGCUCAGACUCUGCUUAGCUUGGGCUGUGCACAGAUUGCUUUUCUAAGAAUGCGCCUGGCAACCUUGGAUCCCUACCUGUUUCAGGCUGCAACACAUCCAACUUCAAACAGUGGGGUAGUUUUCCCCUCUCCACAUAGUAACUCCCUUCUUGUGCUCAGUUUCUAUUCAAACAUAUUCCAAAAAAAUAUUCAGUAAUGGUAGGCAAGGCACAAGCCAGCUUAAAUUAGUAUUGGGUGCAUGAGCUAUUAAGGCAAGCUGGGUCAUCUGAGUGAACUAUUAGGGACAAAUCUCUAUUUACCAUCUUACACCUCUGCAUAGCCAGGCACACAUGUGAUUAAAAUCAAAUACAUCAUGGGAAGAGACAUGUGCACUGAGCAAAGGCUUACGUAAAUAGAAGCCUGUCAAUCAAAACAAAAACUGCUCGCACUAAGCCUCUUGGCAACAGCUCCUGCUCUCAGGCCCUAUGAAAGAAAUAACCCCAGGCUUUAAGUAUGGAAGGACCCUACUGUUCUCUUACAGCACAUCUGAUCUGUACCAUCGUUUUCCUUUUUAAUAUAAUUUUCUUGCCUCUGGUUUGCCAUCCAUGUUCAACUCUUCAGUCCUAUGAAUAAAUGCCAAGAACUUGGAACACCCUAGUAAAAAUAGAUAGCAACCACAGAAACAAAAAUGUGAGGUGUGUGUGUGUGUGUGUGUGUGUGUGUGUGUGUGUGUGUGAGUCCUCUGUAUUUGUAGUAGAGUUUUAUAAAUUUUUUAUUAAAUCUAUUGGUUAGAUUUUAAAAUACACAAAUCUUUUUGGAAAUAUUUAUAUUGUAUUUUAAUAUCUUUUUCUUUAAUCUUUCAGGUUUUAUUUGUUUGUGUUUCAGGACAAGGUUUCUCCUUGUAGCCCUGGCUAUCCUGGAACUCACUCUGUAGACCAGGCUGUCCUCAAACUCAGAGAUACAUCUGCCUGUACUCCCGAGUACUGGGAUUAAAGG